CUCGGAACAGAAUUCUGUCUCUGGGAGGCGUUGUCUACAGUAAGAGAGGAUGAACUUAGUCACCUAAGUUAAACACCUGAAGGUAACAAUCCCAUAAUACCACUAAUUUCAGUAGGAGCUGAGAGUGUUAAGCAGCAUGUAAGAAGUAUCUAGGUCUUUGAAAGCUCCAUCUGUUAUUGAAUAAAUGAGAUAACCAGCAGCUACCAAACAGUAAACAAGACUUAUUUGCAGAGCCCUUGUACUUUACAGGUCUGUUGAUUUUAUUUAUUUAUUUAUUUUCCCGUGGGAAGUACAAAUUAUUUCCCAAGAGCAAACUGAACUAGAUUUACUGCAAACACCAGUGUGACUGAACAGGAACUCUGCAGUCACAGCCAAGCCCCAGGCAGCUAUGGAGGUGUUUUUCUGGUUUUCUAUGAGGAAAAACCAACCAACAAACAAAAAAAAACCACAAGAAUUUGACCAGCUGUCCAGUGACACUGUGGUGAAGCAGCUGUAUACAUCACCUCAGCCCAACUUCUCCUGGAUCUGUACAAUUGGACAUCUUUGGAAGACCUCUGUUCUUCUUCUGCCAUACCCAGCUAAUCUGUACCUUCUGGAAAGAAAGAUAAGCAGCAGGAUUGGUCUCAAGAUGCAUGGAAGGAUGUUUACACAGAAGGCUAAUUGAAUUUCCCCUUCUGCUAGUCCUGCUGAGCAGAGUGAUCCAAAAGCUCUACUUCUCUUCCAAGAAAAUGGAGCGGAUGUUUCUAAGCAUAGCACAACAUCUUUUCAUUACAGAAAGUAGUAACGUUGGAGGGAGUGUUAGCGGCACUGAUAUUUGGGAGGCUGUGAGUCUUUUCUGAAAUGCUGUUCUGACAAUUUCAGACAUUUCUUGGCUCAAUAAACAAAGAACAAAAUCCUUGCAGCAAGUAAUGGCUGUAGCUGGGUCACGUUGACCAGCAUGUUAAGCAGGAUUACCCACCUCAGCACAAGGAAGACACAUUUACACCAAGUAGCUAAAGCAGUUUAGUUCACAAGCUGGUAAAGAUAGCCCAGAUGUUUUCUUAAUCAUAUAAUAUGAUAUGCUCUUAAAGAAUAAUUUAAUAUUUUCCCUAGAUAAUUGCAUCGUCUUCCCCUAUGUUGUUCUCAGAUGAGUAUGAGUGAUGCAACUCCUUGAUUUUGGGAAGCAUCUUAUAUUAGCAUCUUUCCUAAGUAAACUCUGACCACAGCUAAGCCCAAGAACAUGAGGUCUAAGUCACUCGCUGAGGCCAAUAUUCUGUGCUUUAAACAUCCUUUCAUUAAGGCUAGUUUACCUACAGACUAUAGCUGGGGUUUCAAAUCCUAAAAAAGUUCCCCUAACAGGAAUGGUAGAAAACAGAAGACAUAGAAGGUUACUCGUCCAAAAUAUACAGAAUGAAAUGUUGGGGAAAAGCAACAAACCAUAACAUUAUUGGGGAAAAGAGAAGAACAUUGAUUACAUGCUUAUUCAUCCAAUAUCCAACCUUUAAAAUAAAACCUUUAAAAUAAAAUCCCCAAAGAGUGAACCACUCAUAGAUUCAAGACUGUGUCAGUACACUGUAGAGACAUACCAGGCUCAGUCUGAGUUAUGCCAGUGUCUGCUAUGUCCACUUUUAGCCACAUUUAAUAUAACCCACUUUUAAUUUCCUGAUGGCAGAGUUCACAGAAAUUCCUUCUGCUCUAUUAACAUCACAGUUUUAAACUGCUUUCUUCCCCAGUGUGUAUCACAUCCCACGCUCUGUAUGCAUGCUCUGAAAUACUCUCAAAAGCAAAAGGACACCCUCCUUCCUUAUCUCCACUGUGUGUGAUGGUGCUCAAUCUUUUUGUGGUAAUUACCAAAUGAUAACUCACUAGAAAUAUAAAUUAUCUCAGCUGUAGCUCCAUAGUAUUUAAAACAACAUCGCUAUCCAUAUCCACGUGCUCUUUUAGAUGGCUUCUUGGUCAUAUUUUCACUUUAUUAGUACCUUUUUUUGGUUCUUUCUGUCUUAUUUGGGGUUCUCAAAUGACAUCACAGGCUUGUUACGCUAUGUCUCUAAAACCACAAAAGAAAAUAAAAUUUCUGUUCCUAAGUUCCUUGAAACUUUUCUGAGACUUACUAUGUCAUUAUAGACAGAGCCAAGCACAAUAUCCUACUCAUAAGGACAGAUCUCUCAUAAAGACUGGAAAGAGUUAAAAUUCCCCUCUU
ensembl:lncRNA